CUACGGGUGGCUGCAGUGAGGAAUAUUGCACAAUGGGGGGAACCCUGAUGCAGCAACGCCGCGUGGAGGAUGACGCAUUUCGGUGUGUAAACUCCUUUUAUGUGUCAAGAAAAUGACGGUAGCAUAUGAAUAAGCACCGGCUAACUCCGUGCCAGCAGCCGCGGUAAUACGGAGGGUGCAAGCGUUACUCGGAAUCACUGGGCGUAAAGGACGCGUAGGCGGGUUGGAAAGUCAGGUGUGAAAUCCUACAGCUUGACUGUAGAACUGCACUUGAAACUUCUAAUCUAGAGUAUGGGAGGGGGAGAUGGAAUUAGUGGUGUAGGGGUAAAAUCCGUAGAUAUCACUAGGAAUACCUAAAGCGAAGGCGAUCUCCUGGAACAUUACUGACGCUAAGGCGUGAAAGCGUGGGGAGCAAACAGGAUUAGAUACCCGUGUAGUC
rnacentral:rRNA from 1 species